ACCUGGUUGAUCCUGCCAGUAGUCAUACGCUUGACUUAAAGAUUAAGCCAUGCAUGUCUAAGUAUAACGGUUAUACGAGAAAACUGCGGACAGCUCAUUAAAUCAGUAAUUAUUUAUUUGAUGGUGGAAUUAUAUGGAUACCUGUAGGAAUUCUAGAGCUAAUACAUGCGUAAAUCCCGACUUUUGAAGGGAUGUACUUAUUAGUUUCAAGAUCGAUACACCUUUUCGGUGAUCCAUGAUAUUUACACRGAUCGCACGGUUUUAUGCCGGCGACGUUUCAAUCGAAUUUCUGCCCUAUCAAUUUACGAUGGUACGAUAGUGGCGUACCAUGAUUUUUACGGGUAACGGAGAAUUAGGGUUGUGRUUCCGGAGAGGGAGCCUGAGAGACAGCUACCACAUCCAAGGAAGGCAGCAGGCGCGAAAAUUACCCAAUGCAGAYGCUGUGAGGUAGUGACGAUUAAUAACAAUGCUGGGCUUUAUAAGUUUGGUAAUUGGAAUGAGAACAUUUUAARCAUCUUACCGAGGAUCUAUUGGAGGGCAAGUCUGGUGCCAGCAGCCGCGGUAAUUCCAGCUCCAAUAGCGUAUAUUUAAGUUGUUGCGGUUAAAAAGCUCGUAGUCGUAUUUCGGGCGCGCUCGUUGGUCCGUCCUUYGAGGAUGCGCAUCRGCGUGGYGCGCCUUGUUGUACGAGACRCGCUUCUGGGCUUGAUUGCUCGGRACGYGGGUCGUGCGAUGUCACUUUGAGUAAAUUAGAGUGUUUAAAGCAGGCGUGCGCUYUGCAUAUUUCAGCAUGGGAUGACACGAUAGGACCCUGGUCCGUGCGUCGGUCUGCGGUACCGGGGUAAUGAUCGAUAGAGGCGAUCGGGGGCGUUCCUAUUUCGUUGUCAGAGGUGAAAUUCUUGGAUUUACGAAAGAGGAUCAAAUACGAAAGCAUUCGCCAAGGGCGCUCUCGUUGAUCAAGAACGAAAGUUGGGGGAUCGAAGAUGAUUAGAUACCAUCCUAGUCUCAACCAUAAACUAUGCCACCUGGGGAUCGRCGGGUGUUUAUUAUUGACCUCGUCGGCACCCUGUGAGAAAUCAUUAGYGUAUGGGUUCCGGGGGUAGUAUGGUCGCAAGGCUGAAACUUAAAGGAAUAGACGGAAGGGCACCACCAGGCGUGGABCCUGCGGCUCAAUUUGACUCAACGCGGGAAAACUUACUAGGUUAGGACAUAGGAAGGAUUGACAGAUUGAUAGCUCUUUCUUGAUUGUAUGGGUGGUGGUGCAUGGCCAUUCUUAGUUCGUGGGUUAUCUUGUCCGGUUUACUCCGUUAACGAACGAGACCUCAGCCUGCUAAAUAGGUGCYUCCUCGAYUAGAGGUGUGYGCYUUCUUAGAGGGACUAUCGGUGCAAGUCGAUGGAAGUUUGAGGCAAUAAUAGGUCUGUGAUGCCCUUAGAUAUUCUAGGUCKCACGCGGGCUACACUGACGCACUCUACGAGUCCCCUCGGUCGAGAGACCCGGGUAAUCUGUGCACAUGCGUCGUGCUGGGGCUAGAAUAUUGGAAUUGUUAUUCUUUAACGAGGAAUGCCUAGUAAGUGUUCGGUCAACAGCCGGCGUUGAUUAUGUCCCUGCCCUUUGUACUCACCGCCCGUCGCUUGAUCCGACGUUGCAGUUGGUGAAAUGUUUGGAUCGGUUAAGUUUUACGAAAGUGUUGCUUGACCGAGAAGUUCUUUGAACCACCUGUUAUGGAGGAAGAAGAAGUCGUAACAAGGCCGUAGUAGAUGAAUCUGCCACGGGAUCAUUG
rnacentral:rRNA from 1 species